CCUACGGGAGGCAGCAGUGGGGAAUUUUGGACAAUGGGCGCAAGCCUGAUCCAGCAAUGCCGCGUGCAGGAUGAAGGCCUUCGGGUUGUAAACUGCUUUUGUACGGAACGAAACGGCCCUUUCUAAUACAAGGGGUUAAUGACGGUACCGUAAGAAUAAGCACCGGCUAACUACGUGCCAGCAGCCGCGGUAAUACGUAGGGUGCGAGCGUUAAUCGGAAUUACUGGGCGUAAAGCGUGCGCAGGCGGUUAUAUAAGACAGAUGUGAAAUCCCCGGGCUCAACCUGGGACCUGCAUUUGUGACUGUAUAGCUAGAGUACGGUAGAGGGGGAUGGAAUUCCGCGUGUAGCAGUGAAAUGCGUAGAUAUGCGGAGGAACACCGAUGGCGAAGGCAAUCCCCUGGACCUGUACUGACGCUCAUGCACGAAAGCGUGGGGAGCAAACAGGAUUAGAUACCCUGGUAGUCCACGCCCUAAACGAUGUCAACUGGUUGUUGGGUCUUCACUGACUCAGUAACGAAGCUAACGCGUGAAGUUGACCGCCUGGGGAGUACGGCCGCAAGGUUGAAACUCAAAGAGUAGUGCGUGNGAGAGACGACGACGACGACGACGGAGGAGGAGG
rnacentral:rRNA from 1 species